ensembl:snoRNA
CCCAUCUAAAAAGGCACGUCUGUGGUUCUGUCUGUGGACACGAAAGAACUGGAAGCAAAGAAACGUGACCGGCCAAGUUCUGGGGACGGCCUGCUCCCGGCAGGCUCAAGACUGCCCGUCACCGUAU